UACGUAGGGGGCGAGCGUUGUCCGGAUUUAUUGGGCGUAAAGAGCUCGUAGGCGGUUCGAUAAGUCGGGUGUGAAACCUCCAGGCUCAAUCUGGAGACGCCACCCGAUACUGUCGUGACUAGAGUCCAGUAGGGGAGCGUGGAAUUCCUGGUGUAGCGGUGAAAUGCGCAGAUAUCAGGAGGAACACCGGUGGCGAAGGCGGGUCUCUGGGCCGAUACUGACGCUGAGGAGCGAAAGCGUGGGGAGCGAACAGG
rnacentral:rRNA from 1 species